GCUUUACAGUCUUGCAAUUGGAAUGAGUAGAUUUUAAAUCUCUCUACGAGUAACAAUUGGAGGGCAAGUCUGGUGCCAGCAGCCGCGGUAAUUCCAGCUCCAAUAGCGUAUAUUAAAGUUGUUGCGGUUAAAAAGCUCGUAGUUGGAUUUCUGCUGAGGACGAUCGGUCCGCCCUCUGGGUGAGUAUCUGGCUCGGCCUUGGCAUCUUCUUGGGGAACGUUGCUGCACUUGACUGCGUGGCGCGGUACCCAGGACUUUUA
rnacentral:rRNA from 1 species